rnacentral:rRNA from 1 species
UACUUCGGUAACUGAGACCGGCGCACGGGUGCGUAACGCGUAUACAAUCUACCUUUUACAGAGGGAUAGCCCAGAGAAAUUUGGAUUAAUACCUCAUAGUAUUUUCGGAUGGCAUCAUUUGAUUAUUAAAGUUCCAACGGUAAAAGAUGAGUAUGCGUCCCAUUAGCUAGAUGGUAAGGUAACGGCUUACCAUGGCAACGAUGGGUAGGGGUCCUGAGAGGGAGAUCCCCCACACUGGUACUGAGACACGGACCAGACUCCUACGGGAGGCAGCAGUGAGGAAUAUUGGACAAUGGGCGCAAGCCUGAUCCAGCCAUGCCGCGUGCAGGAAGAAGGUCCUAUGGAUUGUAAACUGCUUUUAUACAGGAAGAAACACCUCUACGUGUAGAGACUUGACGGUACUGUAUGAAUAAGGACCGGCUAACUCCGUGCCAGCAGCCGCGGUAAUACGGAGGGUCCAAGCGUUAUCCGGAAUCAUUGGGUUUAAAGGGUCCGUAGGCGGUUUAAUAAGUCAGUGGUGAAAGCCCAUCGCUCAACGAUGGAACGGCCAUUGAUACUGUUAAACUUGAAUUAUUAGGAAGUAACUAGAAUAUGUAGUGUAGCGGUGAAAUGCUUAGAGAUUACAUGGAAUACCAAUUGCGAAGGCAGGUUACUACUAAUAUAUUGACGCUGAUGGACGAAAGCGUGGGGAGCGAACAGGAUUAGAUACCCUGGUAGUCCACGCCGUAAACGAUGGAUACUAGCUGUUCGGAGCAAUCUGAGUGGCUAAGCGAAAGUGAUAAGUAUCCCACCUGGGGAGU